UGGCGGACGGGUGAGUAAUGUCUGGGAAACUGCCCGAUGGAGGGGGAUAACUACUGGAAACGGUAGCUAAUACCGCAUAACGUCGCAAGACCAAAGAGGGGACCUUCGGGCCUCUUGCCAUCGGAUGUGCCCAGAUGGGAUUAGCUAGUAGGUGGGGUAACGGCUCACCUAGGCGACGAUCCCUAGCUGGUCUGAGAGGAUGACCAGCCACACUGGAACUGAGACACGGCCCAG
rnacentral:rRNA from 1 species